rnacentral:rRNA from 1 species
UCGAGAAUCUUCGGCAAUGGACGCAAGUCUGACCGAGCGACGCCGCGUGCGGGAUGAAGGCCUUCGGGUUGUAAACCGCUGUCAGAGGGGAUGAAAUGCUGGUGGGUUCUCCCAUCAGUUUGACAUAUCCUCAGAGGAAGUACGGGCUAAGUUCGUGCCAGCAGCCGCGGUAAGACGAACCGUACGAACGUUAUUCGGAAUCACUGGGCUUAAAGGGUGCGUAGGCGGUGCAGAAAGUAGGGUGUGAAAUCCCUCGGCUCAACCGAGGAACUGCGCUCUAAACUACUGUGCUAGAGGGAGAUAGAGGUGAGCGGAACUUAGGGUGGAGCGGUGAAAUGCGUUGAUAUCCUAAGGAACACCGGUGGCGAAAGCGGCUCACUGGAUCUCUGCUGACGCUGAGGCACGAAAGCUAGGGUAGCAAACGG